rnacentral:rRNA from 1 species
UGAGGAAUAUUGGUCAAUGGGCGCAGGCCUGAACCAGCCAAGUCGCGUGAGGGAAGACGGUCCUACGGAUUGUAAACCUCUUUUGUCGGGGAGUAACGUGCGGGACGCGUACCGUAUUGAGAGUACCCGAAGAAAAAGCAUCGGCUAACUCCGUGCCAGCAGCCGCGGUAAUACGGAGGAUGCGAGCGUUAUCCGGAUUUAUUGGGUUUAAAGGGUGCGCCGGCGGCGCGCCAAGUCAGCGGUCAAAGUUCCGGGCUCAACCCGGUGUCGCCGUUGAAACUGGCGUGCUCGAGUGCGUGCGAGGAAGGCGGAAUGCGUUGUGUAGCGGUGAAAUGCAUAGAUAUGACGCAGAACUCCGAUUGCGAAGGCAGCUUUCCAGCGCGCUACUGACGCUGAGGCACGAAAGCGUGGGGAUCGAACA